AAGUCCCUGCCUUGCUCGUGACAUGACCAUACAUUCCUUGAACCAAUGCUUAUGGCAACAGGUUGUUGGAUUGGUCAAUGGGAGCGAUCUUCUCUAGCGGAAGAACCCGAAGUUGACCUGAUGACAACCGAUCUUGGACCUCGGGUUCCAGGAUGCCGGUCUUGACGACAAUGGCGGGGCAUUU
rnacentral:other from 1 species